AAACCAUGCUAAGGACAUUUCCUCAGGAGAUCCUUCAACCUAUCCCAAGUCUCAAAAAGCUACUCCAAUUCUGUUUGCACAAAAGAAUAUAUCUUAUUCUUAAGCUU